rnacentral:misc_RNA from 1 species
GCAAGCCGACCCAUCGAUGAUACGAUAGGAGGGCGCGGCGGGGCGCACCCGCCGGCAUCCUCCGCAUCCGAAAGCACGCUCGGGCGCCGAGGUCCGUGCGCCCCCCCACCCCAGCGGGGGGCRACGACCCACGGCAACCGUCCGAAUGCCCGCCGCACAACUAUAUCCCCGCAGCCCGGGGGCUGCCGGGGCAUCAUGGGCGGCCGGGUGCAAAACUCAACCCACUAGUGCCGGUACCCCGAAACCUGGACAGGGUAGGAAGCACAGGCAGCGCAUACUCGGACCGCGAGGGAGGAGCCUGAGCCCGGACCUCCGGCCAACAAUGCAAAG